AGGUAUCUCAUCUGCGGUAAAUUGUACUGAUCAAAUGGCUUCGCAAAAUCAUCUUAGAGUCCAAGGUACUUACUCCAAACGCAAAUUUUUUUCAACUUUCAUCCUUCAGAGGCGUCUAUAAAUGUGUAUGAAUUUACCCCUAACGCGCCGUUUCAAAGAUUAGUUGGUCCUACCGUUAAAAUUCACAGUUGUCGAAGCAGUUGGUAUGUCUUAAAGCAUGCAAGAAACUACAUAAACCGGGAGUGUAUGAUGAAAUGGCUAGAUAUACCUGGGUUGUCUGUGCCAUCUUUGAUUGACGAAGCCAUUAGCACAAAAUCUCUAUGGUGUUCUUCUACGCCGAACGGGGGUUAUCAAGAUGUUGAAAGCAGGAACACAUGCAUCUUCGUAAGAAAUUGAGGUUAGUUUGUGUUACCAGAGGGUUGAGUUGGCCGUUCUUUACUGGAUGUGCUGAUUACCUUGCAUCUUUUGAAAACCACACAGACGUUGAUCCAGGGGAGUUAGUUACCUUCCGGGUUCUGUUCCUAAUGAUAAUUGUCCUCAAGUUGUAGUCAAGCUGGCACCGACUUGUUUCUUAAGCGAAAUAGAAGAAAUCUAAUCCUUUCUUGUUAUGUUUUUGUGCUGCUGGCUUUAGGGAGUACGUAGAAGGGGCAACUCUGAUGGACACGGAACCUAACCGUCAGAUUGUUAUUCCGAGUAACUUGAGUUGCUCUCUUUAACAGACACAUCGGAACUGCAGUAGGCCAUGCCAGGCAGAUGGUCAUAUAUAUUAAAAUAAAUCUGUGUGCUUAUUUGAUUCUUUCUAUAGAUGUUUUUGCAGGCAUAUACUAUAUAUAGUAACUUGUACACAGGAACCACCAUUUUACUAGUUUGGU